rnacentral:rRNA from 1 species
UAAUAUAUCGGAACGUACCUUUGGGUGGGGGAUAACGUAGCGAAAGUUACGCUAAUACCGCAUACGAUCUACGGAUGAAAGUGGGGGCUUCGCAAGAACCUCAUGCUCAUAGAGCGGCCGAUAUCUGAUUAGCUAGUUGGUAGGGUAAAAGCCUACCAAGGCAUCGAUCAGUAGCUGGUCUGAGAGGACGACCAGCCACACUGGGACUGAGACACGGCCCAG